rnacentral:lncRNA from 1 species
AGCAAAAUAACUAUUUAAGAUGCCAUAUAAGCUUCUAGUCAAUUGAAAACUGAACUCAAAAUCUCAAUGUCAACUGUAAUAGACACAAAUAACGGACAGAUAUUUCAUUCCGCUGCAAGUUUACUUAGAAAAGACAUCGAAACUCUAAAGAAGACUACCCAACUUCGGAUGAAUUGUCUCUUCCUUCUUAAUUCAGCCAAUGCCUUCGUAUUUAUUGCAAUUCAUUCUAUGUUUACUCAAAUGAAAAUGCACACAGCCAAGACUAUUCUCAGGAAAUGGCAUCAGAGAAAUUGUGGAAAUGCUAAGCAAUUGUUGAGACAAUCGUUUUUGUUUUACUCCUUUUCAUUUAGGAUUGGCCUUACAAAUGUACCAUGGGUUUGGUUCAAAACACCUUGUUGAAACAUUGAAUGCCAAUGGAUUUUAUGCUACUUAAAGUAAAGUGCGACGCUAUCUAAUGUGUUGCCAACCAUGAAAUUGAGCGAAUUCAAGAUAGUGUGUACGUCUCGUAUAAUGUUUCCCCAGCAUCUUUGCAGACAAGCAUAUGGAUGUCAUCACACCUUCCUAAA